GCCCCGGUAGCUCAGUGGUAGAGCGAACGCCUUGUAAGCGUUAGGUCGCGAGUUCAAUCCUCGCCCGGGGCU
rnacentral:tRNA from 1 species